rnacentral:lncRNA from 1 species
UUCCUCUGAAACAUUUGUAGAUUGUUAUAGUAUCAACCAUUUUCUUCACUCAGGUAAUAUAAAUGCUUUAGACCACAACACAGUACAAAAUUAACCACAAGCUGUUACCAAGACGUGGUGCUUGUGUUUCAGAGACCAUAAACACAGUGCACUCCUAUGAUCCCAUUGUCAUAGCCAGGCAGCAAACCCAGGAUAUUUAGUAUGAACUUAUCCCUUCACUGCGAAGCCCAAGUCAGCAACACCACCACUUGAGUUUCUCCAUUCUUCAUGCAUGCUCGACAGAGUCUCUAUCAGAAAUAUGUGAAGAAUGCCUGAAUGUUAGGAUCGUUUCAAUCAGUUGAGUUAAAUCAUAAGCACAGCUAAUGGUGCAUUUACCUUGCGGGUUCAGCCAAAGCUUUGAUUGUAGCCAGUAUUUCUUCUAGCUCCUUUUUUCCAUACAUUUUUGUAUUUUUGCUUUCUUCCCCAAAUAAUCUCCCAAGUUCCUUCUCCAUGUGGUACUCCAGUUUCCGAGAAGCAACGAUCAUAGUUCCAAGGCGGUGUCCAAGCUAAGGUCAAAGAAACACAGCCGAGAUGGCACUGAAUAAGUAAGAGAACUAAUUGUUCAAGGAUUGAUGAUAGAGGUACAUCAUAUCAGUACAUGUAUGGGACAGUCAUUAGAAAUCAAAUCCCCAAAUGGAGGGGUAAAAUUCUCACAUCACUCGUGAAGUCAGGUUUCAGGCACAGCGGAUGCUAGCAAAACACAUUGCUGCAAUAGCAUAACAGCCCAUACUAGCUUGGACGUUCCUAGCAUAACAUUGUUUAAUUUGGCUAGUAUGAUCAGGAUAUACCCCACACUGGACCAAAUUGAAGGAAAAAGUGAUGGAAUUUCCACAAAGCAGCAGAAGUGGGCGAUCACACUAGUGGACGAAGGCCCCUCUAACCAGGGUCUGGGGCUCUGGAUAACUAAUCGCAACAAAAGCUCGCUCCUGACAAGUUCUUGCAGCAGAAUCAGGCAAUGCGCUAGUUCGUUUUGCAGCAAAAAGUAACCAAUUUGCCACUUUUGGCAUGGCAUUGCUACGUAUGCAGGAAGAAAAUUGAAGCAACUGAUCCACAAGGGAGUGCAAUAGCACAAGGCCUCCAUCAACGAUGGUGACCCUUGUUUCUCGGGCAAUUCAAUGGUCAAGCAAUUUUACAGACCGACCGACCGAUCGAUCGAUCGAUGCAAAGGACUAAUCCGGGGACGGCGAGCUCACCGUGCGGGAGUGGUAGGCGAGAGGUCGAG